UACGGAAGGCAGCAGUGGGGAAUAUUGCACAAUGGGCGCAAGCCUGAUGCAGCCAUGCCGCGUGUAUGAAGAAGGCCUUCGGGUUGUAAAGUACUUUCAGUCGUGAGGAAGGUGUUAAGGUUAAUAACCUUAGCAAUUGACGUUAGCGACAGAAGAAGCACCGGCUAACUCCGUGCCAGCAGCCGCGGUAAUACGGAGGGUGCGAGCGUUAAUCGGAAUUACUGGGCGUAAAGGGCACGCAGGCGGUUAAUUAAGUUGGAUGUGAAAUCCCCGGGCUUAACCUGGGAAUGGCAUUCAAGACUGGCUAGCUAGAGUCUUGUAGAGGGGGUAGAAUUCCAUGUGUAGCGGUGAAAUGCGUAGAGAUGUGGAGGAAUACCGGUGGCGAAGGCGGCCCCUGGACAAGACUGACGCUCAUGUGCGAAAGCGUGGGGAGCAAACGAGGAUUAGAUACC
rnacentral:rRNA from 1 species